UGCGGGAUAUAAUUUUGAGAUACAUAAGUGGUCUGGAAAGAGCUGGGAAUCAUAUUUGUUCUGAUCGCGAAUAAUGUUCAAGUGCAGUUCAUAAUGAGCCAUUAUGGCCUGAAAACACUAUCUUAUCCGUAUACAGACAGAGAUUUCGGUCGCAGUCUCUUGUAUAGGUCUUUACCACCGCACUCUGUGGCCGGCUAACGAUGAUACGUAUCUUCAACUCAAUUACGUACGUUUGCACCAUAAUUAUAACUACUGGACCAAAUUCUGGAAUGAUGGCAUUCUAAAACCCAGUAAAGUAGUUCUAAGUCAGUGUGUUCGUCGUGGGUUACAAUUCAACCCUAUGUUCACUGAUGGGUUUAAAAGUUCCAAGGUUUACAGGCAUUUUGUAUACUUGCAGGGGGUGUUAUAUGGCCUUGCUAGUUCACAGAAAGUUUUGUGUAUUGACCUCAAUACCAUUAAAGCUCGAGCCUUUGAACGCCCUCAUGUUCUUGGGGACGAUGAUAAGACAGGUGCAACAAUGGGAUGUCUUGGGGUGUCAAAGGAUCUUGUUUGUUAUGUAACAUGUGAUGGUUCAAAUACUUUUUGUUUUUGGUCUUAUAAUGAUCGACGUGAAUCUGGUGACCAAUGGACUCUCAAAUAUAGUGUUGUUAGGAAUAGUUUGGUAUGGGGGGGCGGAUACAAUGUUUAUACCUGGUGCAGAUAUGGUGUUUAAACCCUAUGCAAUAAGUCUGAAUGCUCAUGUCAUCUUCUUUGGCACUUUAGAUUUGAUCUUUAGCUGGGACUUUGAAAGCCAGAAAUGUAAACUGUUCAACAGUCAAAGGUGAAGAUGGCCCAAAACCUGGUUAUGACUUUCCUUUCUUCACCCAACGUGCUUGCUUGAUACCUUUUUACAGUUUGGGCGAGAGGAAUAUUGCCGGCUCUACUCCAUUAUCAGGGAACCUUUUGAAGGGAGCAGAGAUUUCGAGUGCGGAAGCAUUACCAUGUGAGUGUGAUAAUCUAAAAGAUAGCUUUCAAGUUGUACGCGGUCGUUCACAUUGGAAUAUGUUGUUCAAGAGACGGUUUCUUUUUCCGAGUGAAAUGCAGUUAUGUGCAGGAAUGGAGCUGCCGGAUUAAAGAUGAUUUUCAGACUAUCCGAUCACCAUGAAUAAGAUUUCUACUUUUCAGAUUAGGUGGCUUCUUUAAAUAAAAAUUUAGAUUGGAUCAAAUCAAAGUAAUUUUGGAAUUUCCAGAAAAUAAUUCAUUAUUCAUAUAAUUUACAAGUUUUUUAAUUUUUUUCAA